GACGUAGGAUGCGAGCGUUAUUCGGAUUUAUUGGGCGUAAAGCGUGCGUAGGCGGCUGUUUAAGUCUGGUGUUAAAGCUAGGGGCUCAACCCCUGUGAUGCACUGGAUACUGGGCAGCUUGAGUGCGGUAGGGGAAGGUGGAAUUCCGAGUGUAGCGGUGAAAUGCGUAGAUAUUCGGAAGAACACCGGUGGCGAAGGCGACCUUCUGGGCCGCAACUGACGCUGAGGCACGAAAGCGUGGGGAGCGAACGGG
rnacentral:rRNA from 1 species